UCUAGUCUCAUCCUGUUUUGGUUGCCUAGAGAUGCUGUUAUGAUUUUAAUUCACUUUAAAUUUAUUGGGUUUUGUGACCAGCAUUUGAUCUAUCCUAGAAAAUGUUCCAUAGGCACCUGAAAAGACUGUGUAUUCUGCUGCUGUUAGAUGAAUGUUCUACUUGAUCUGAAAACAAAGACAACAGAGGAAGAAAUUAAAGUGAUUCAUGUUUCAAUCAGUCAAAUUUUGAAUGUGAGAAAUCCUACAGGAGUAGAAGCAAUGAGAUAACAUGAGAUGAGUUGGGUGACUUUCCAGAUUAAGGGAAGUUGAAGAGACAUAAUAGCUGAAUUCAAUGUGUGACUUUUAAUUGGAUCUUGAUUUGAAUAAAC
ensembl:lncRNA